GACGAACGCUGGCGGCGUGCUUAACACAUGCAAGUCGAACGGUAAGGCCCCUUCGGGGGUACACGAGUGGCGAACGGGUGAGUAACACGUGAGCAACCUGCCCUUGACUCUGGAAUAACAGUUGGAAACAGCUGCUAAUACUGGAUAUUCAUCGUCUCCUUCCUGGGGGGGGUGGGAAACCUCCGGCGGUCGGGGUUGGGCUCGCGGCCUAUCGGCUUGUUGGUGAGGUAAUGGCUCACCAAGGCUUCGACGGGUAGCCGGCCUGAGAGGGCGACCGGCCACACUGGGACUGAGAUACGGCCCAGACUCCUACGGGAGGCAGCAGUGGGGAAUAUUGCACAAUGGGCGCAAGCCUGAUGCAGCAACGCCGCGUGCGGGAUGACGGCCUUCGGGUUGUAAACCGCUUUCAGUAGGGACGAAGGGUGACUGACGGUACCUACAGAAGAAGGACCGGCUAACUACGUG
rnacentral:rRNA from 1 species